AGGGGAGUCAGAGCUUUAGGGACACCCAGAGUACGAAGUUGUAUCCCUGACCAUCUUGGCUAAUAGCCAUUGAUGGACUUAUCCUCCAUGAACAUAUCUAAUUAUUUU